GGCGGCAGGCCUAACACAUGCAAGUCGAGCGCGAAAACACUUCGGUGUGAGUAGAGCGGCGGACGGGUGAGUAAUGCUUGGGAAUCUGCCCAGUAGUGGGGGAUAACGUGUGGAAACGCACGCUAAUACCGCAUACGUCCUACGGGAGAAAGCAGGGGAUCUUCGGACCUUGCGCUAUUGGAUGAGCCCAAGUCAGAUUAGCUAGUUGGUGGGGUAAUGGCCUACCAAGGCGACGAUCUGUAGCUGGUCUGAGAGGAUGAUCAGCCACACUGGGACUGAGACACGGCCCAGACUCCUACGGGAGGCAGCAGUGGGGAAUAUUGGACAAUGGGCGGAAGCCUGAUCCAGCCAUGCCGCGUGUGUGAAGAAGGCUCUAGGGUUGUAAAGCACUUUCAGUAGGGAGGAAAAGCUUAAGGUUAAUAACCUUGAGCCCUGACGUUACCUACAGAAGAAGCACCGGCAAACUCCGUGCCAGCAGCCGCGGUAAUACGGAGGGUGCGAGCGUUAAUCGGAAUUACUGGGCGUAAAGCGCGCGUAGGUGGUUUGAUAAGCUAGCUGUGAAAGCCCCGGGCUCAACCUGGGAACUGCAGUUAGAACUGUCUGACUAGAGUACAGUAGAGGGUGGCGGAAUUUCCUGUGUAGCGGUGAAAUGCGUAGAUAUAGGAAGGAACAUCAGUGGCGAAGGCGGCCACCUGGACUGAUACUGA
rnacentral:rRNA from 1 species